rnacentral:rRNA from 1 species
UACGUAGGUGACCAGCGUUGUCCGGAUUUACUGGGCGUAAAGAGCGCGCAGGCGGUCGUUCAAGUCGAGUGUGAAAGCCCCCGGCUCAACUGGGGAGGGUCAUUCGAUACUGAUCGACUUGAAGGCAGGAGAGGGAAGUGGAAUUCCCGGUGUAGUGGUGAAAUGCGUAGAUAUCGGGAGGAACACCAGUGGCGAAGGCGACUUCCUGGCCUGUUCUUGACGCUGAGGCGCGAAAGCUAGGGGAGCAAACGGGGAU